rnacentral:rRNA from 1 species
CCUACGGGUGGCAGCAGUGGGGAAUAUUGGGCAAUGGGCGCAAGCCUGACCCAGCAACGCCGCGUGAAGGAAGAAGGCUUUCGGGUGGUAAAAUUCUUUUGUCAGGGAAGAGUAGAAGACGGUACCUGACGAAUAAGCCACGGCUAACUACGUGCCCGCAGCCGCGGUAAUACGUAGGGUGCAAGCGUUGUCCGGAUUCACUGGGUGUAAAGGGCGUGUAGCCGGGUUGACAAGUCAGAUGUGAAAUCCUUCGGCUUAACCGCAGAACUGCAUUUGAAACUGUUGAUCUUGAGUACUGGAGAGGCAGAUGGAAUUCCUAGGGUAGCGGUGGAAUGCGUAGAUAUUAGGAGGAACACCAGUGGCGAAGGCGGCCUGCUGGACGACAACUGACGGUGAGGCGCGAAAGCGUGGGUAGCAAACAGGAUUAGAUACCCGAGUAGUC